GAUCCUGGCUCAGGAUGAACGCUAGCUACAGGCUUAACACAUGCAAGUCGCGGGGUAACAUUUGACAGAGCUUGCUCAGUCAAGAUGACGACCGGCGCACGGGUGAGUAACGGCGUAUCCAACCUGGCCCAUACCACGGGACAGCCCGUCGAAAGGCGGAUUAAUACCGUAUGCAGUCAUAGACGAGCAUUUGAAUAUGACGAAAGGAUUCGGCGGUAUGGGAUGGGGAUGCG
rnacentral:rRNA from 1 species